UACGAAGGGGGCUAGCGUUGCUCGGAAUCACUGGGCGUAAAGCGCACGUAGGCGGCUUAUUAAGUUAGAGGUGAAAGCCCGGGGCUCAACUCCGGAAUUGCCUUUAAGACUGCAUCGCUAGAAUUGUGGAGAGGUAAGUGGAAUUCCGAGUGUAGAGGUGAAAUUCGUAGAUAUUCGGAAGAACACCAGUGGCGAAGGCGACUUACUGGACACAUAUUGACGCUGAGGUGCGAAAGCGUGGGGAGCAAACAGG
rnacentral:rRNA from 1 species